rnacentral:snRNA from 1 species
GAAUGUGAGGGUGAUCUGGCUGCCACAUCUGUCGUUGAUCACCAGAGUGGAUUUGGCUGAUCUGGCUGGCCAGGUGAGUGUCCCCUUCCUCCCUCACUGCCCCAUGUGCAUCCUGAAGCUGUGCGCUCGGUCAAAGAGGACGACCACCCUCAAUAGAGGAGGACCAUUUCCUCAGUCAAGGGUGUACACUCCCCUGCCAGAACCUCCAAACAAGCUCUUAAGUACAGAUAAUAUUCAAAAGUUUAUAGAUACUUGAAAAGUAAAGGUAGUUUUU